CAACUCCCAGGGCUCAUGGCAGGUCCAGAUAACAUUUUAAUCUUCUUUGACUCGACCUUUCCAGAGUUCAACACAGGAUGCUGUGAGAGUCGUUAUGUAACUCUAGAAACAGUGUUGGAUGACACUGUCUGUAGUUCUGGCUGAUCUUGUCAUUCGACCUGACUGACAUCCUGAGAACACCAAUCAAUGCGGUUUCCCAACACCAGAGAGAGAAGAGGCCUUCUCCUGGCAUCCCUUCCUAAAAAGCCUUACUUGUCUUUUUCUAAUUGUACUGUCAUAAACCUUAACAUUUAAUAAUCUCUGACCAUUGUACACUCUGCUCUGGGGGUGAAUUUGAUGGGGCAUCCAUUACUGUAAUGCAGUCCUGUGACAACAUUCUUUACGAGAUCAUUGUAUAAAACAUAUUCCUACAGCAAAGAGUCUAUACAACACUUAACGCAUAGUAUAAAUAAAAGAAUCUGUGAAAACAUGGCAUUUCCUGUGGAUUUUAAACCAAAGCUCUAAAUCUGAUCUGCUCCGUGCAGCUUAUGUCUAUUAUGAUCUAACCAGGUAAAGAGAGCCAUCGUUGUGACACUAAAGACUUUGGCUUUAGGCUCAACAAAGCUUGUUAACCUAUUCAUUUUCUUUCUAGCAUACCCCUCUGGUCUCACUCUAUGAGCUGAGCUAAUGUUACAAACAUCUUGGCCUGUCAACACAAAAACAGUUUCAGCUGCAUUUUGCACUUGUUGUUCUUACGUCUGACAGAACAAAUGCAUUCUUGUUUUCAUCAGUCCAGCUGUCAGUAUGUAACAGCUUGCAUUGCUCUUUCUGUAUAUCCAUGAACAUAGCUUGAAAACACAUUUCACAUAUUUAUGUAGAAGCCUCUAUUUGAGUAUUUUUCACGGUAUUAUUUUUAUUGGAGUUAGAAAUGUACAUAUCAAGUCCCUGUACUGAGGAACACCCAGGGGAUCAUUUCCUGGUUUCACAUACCCUAACAUUGUGUAAUUACUUAAAGAGACCCAAACCAUUUUGGAGACUAGGCCCUAAAGAUGUUGAUUUCUGCUGUAAAUGUUGGCAUUUAAACAAAGGAUUCAAGAAUUUACGCACUUUUUUUUCCCCUCACUUUUGAAAGCAGUCUCAGAGGGUCCCUAUCUAGACACAGUUUUAACAGGUAGCUAUACAUGUAGUAGAACGACAUGAAAGUCGAUCCAUUGUUUUGGUCCUGAGGUAAAAAAACAGACAGUUGCUUUCCAAUUUCAUUGUUACUUCUAGAAUUAAAAAGAAACUGCUGCUUAGCGGUUUUAAAAUUGAUUUUUAAAAUAUUUAAGUGUUCACAAUGGAAAUGCUAAAAUGUUGUUUCCAAACAACAAUUGUGCAAAGAGAGAUGUUAGGCACAUUCUGACCAGCUUUGUGGAUCUACUAAGCUGUUCAAUAAAGCUGCAGAAUAUUUCUAUAAAUCCUUUGUUUGCUCCCUGCACAAUCAUACUGCAUCAAGGAGUAAUAUGGCAAACGAGGCUUAACUAAAUUAGGAAAGUGUUUUAUUAAUGUGUCAACUCUUAUCAUUUUUUCCCAUAGUGGUGUAUUUUUGCCCUAUUCAGGGAUAAUAAAGUUGAAUUUUUCUUCCCUUUCGGGAGAGGGCCAACGUGAGAAUGAUAGAGCAAAAUGAGCAAAAGAUGCUUUCUCAAGAGAGGGAACAAGGCAAAGAGAAGCCUUUUAGAGGGGUUUGGCUUAUCUCCCAAAUCUCUCCCCAAGUUUGACCAUCCAUUCAACAUGUGCUUUAUGGAAUGACAGAAUUUCACUGUGGAUACUGUCCACAAAAACCUGUGGAAGGUGCUGUGGAUUUUGAACUUCUAGUGGCAUUGUGAUGUGCCAGGAUUAAGAUGCAGCUGAGGUGAGGAGGGUAUCAGGGUUCAUAAACUCAGAAUCGCCUCUACUUUUUACAGAUAAUGUGGUUCUGAUUUGCACUUCAGAUCUGGAAAUCUGCGAAUGAUGGUAAAAUGGAACAUGAGAUGGGUAAGUAAUACUGGUAUGAUACCAAAUGAUUUUCAAACAUGAAUCAGAAGGCAAGAUUGUAUUCCACUUUUCACGUUUAGUCAUUACCUCUAUAUUAUGACCAAGAGAAUGAAAAUGUACUUUAUCUGAACUUCAUUUUGGGUGUAUCCAACUUUAGAGAGCACAACACAAAACUGCUGUCUGAGAAAAUAGUCAGCUGUGGUACUUUUGGCAUCUGUGCAUGUUUUCCUGCAAAGCCCCUAGAUCUAAACUCCAAACUCACUGGAGGAUUACAUGAUGUAUCUGGCUUGGGAAUGCCUCAGGAUGCUACACGAGAAGCCAAAAACAUUGGUCACAAUAUCGUCUUAGACCUCUGCAAUCAUGACCUGACUUUGGGUACUCAUCGCAUUGAAGGCAACACUUCCUGCCUGGAGGAGCAAAAGCCUCCGACACCAGCUUCAGUUACAUACAGUCUACUUCAACCAAAAGGCUGUAGGGGGAAAGGAAAAUACAAGGGGAGAUUAAAUAUAUAUGCCUGAGCGAGAAAAGUAUGAAAGGUUGACUGAGGUGGAAGAUGAGCUGGAGAGAGAGAAGAUUGACCUCAUGCUGACAGUGCACAUCCCUGCAAGCUUUGGUCAGGUCUCAAAGAAAGCACUGCUGUCUUUACACUGAUUUCCACAGCUGUUUGGUGGUCGACUGGAGCGACCUGGGGAUAUCGCAUGUCACCCGUCUAUAGUGCAACAUGAGCUCAGACAGCGGAAAGUCAGGAUGUCUCAUUGAGGGGAACAAUUGAUCCAACAGUAAGUGUUGGAGGAAAACCAGGCAGGUCUAACCACAUCAGACCAACUUUAACAUGCCAUAUGUCAAGAGUCUUUCUGAAUAAUUCAUUAUUCUUCACAUACUGAAAUUAAGGACAUUUCAAUAUCUUGAUUUAAAGAAAAAAAACAUACAUUUUGAACAUUUUCUAGUAGAUCAAACACUAUCUCUAAUGUGUGUGCGUCAGAUACAAAGAGAUACAUGAAAGACAAGAAACAUCUACAGCUCCACAGGAAGGGGAAAGGAACUGUGUUGGCUAAAGCUGGGACUCCAAGAGGAAAUGAACAAGCGUGUUGCUGGUUAUGUGAUAAACAGUUGCUACAAAUAUCAACUCAACAUGAAAUUAGGUAAAGUCAACACAUUUAAAUUAGGUAGGACCGCAGGAUUCCUGGAUACUGGACAACAAAGGAGCUGCUUUUUUUUUUUAAGCCCGUCUUGUCUCGGAUCUUUUGCUAUCAGAAUCAUGAUUUGAAUGCACUUUUUAUUUUGUUGUUCAACCCUAUAAGAUAAAUUUUUACUUGGUCUCAUUUUUUAUCUGCCAUUGCUUUGAUCUUUUCCUGACUAAACCUUAUUUGUGUUGCCAUCAUAAUGGGAAAACUUAAGUCUAGGACACUUGAGGGUUUUAGAUCUCUUUAGAAGUCUUGAAGCUAUAGAUGGGAUUCUUAAAACCUGCUUAAGAUUUUCUUGUGUUGCUAUGUUAUGAAUGUCCUUAAGAAGUCCAAAUAUUAACAAAAGAACAACUUAAGAAAAAAUUAAUUAAAUCCCAGAUUUGUAUUUUACUAAGUCAGUGGGUACACUUCGAAUCCCGAUUUACAUGUGCUGAACUAAACACUAUUGGAUUGAGGAAUAAUGAAACGGCGCUGUUUCUCCCUUAAUUGCCACAGAUUGAUGCAGAGCAUAACCUGCACAGACUCUGCACACAGGAUACUAUGAGCCCUACCUCUAGGUUUACAGUUUCAACAUUAAACUCAGUGUAAGUAGAACACAUUUUUGCUCUGCCAUGAUUGAGCGUAAGAUCAGGGAUUGAAGAUUUAACCUUUGGGCUAUUAAAUGACUUAGAAACAAACUACUAAGCUACCCUUCUGCUCUGCUCAUGGCAGCAGUCUGUUCUAAUGGUGGCAACCAAGAAACAUCAAGACAUCUUUUUGAUGAUGCCAUUGAUGCCAUCACAUUUUAGUGUUUAUUCGGCUUUUGAUUAUAAUGCCACAGCCUGUUCUACAAAAAAGCUGAUGGGGAGCUGCUGCGAGGCACAUAUGAAGCACAGCUUGCUGCAUCUGGAUCUUUUUGAAACAUCGUUCAGCUCACCUUGUAAAAGAUCACAUAAUGGUGUGAAUGCUUUCUGUGGCAGUAACAAAGGAAUUCAGGUUUCAGAAACAGCUGUUAGUUUACAGCGGUGAGAAUCAAACGAAAGCAGAGAAAUAACCAGUGUGGGGCUUUGUAUUUGUUAUAUUUGAUCACGAAAAAGCAACAUAGGUCGUUGGAGAUGGAUGUGUGGACAUAAAUACUGUGUUGAUAGUUGCAACUACUGCAGCUGUUCUUUAUGUACAACCUGCCUUCUAAAAUUUGCCAGCACAAAAUAUGGCCAAGGCAGCAGUUUUUUGUUUAUCUUAUAGAGAAACUGUGUAAAACUUUAGUGGAGAAUAUAUUGGAAGGAAAAAAACAUGGAAAUUACUACUCCACUACCCUCCUUAAACAAAGAAAUAAAAAAUAAAACCAUGCACAACACUGCAGAAGUUUACUAGAAAUUUGCAGUGAUGUAUGCAGAAGGUUCAGGUCCUUAAAUAACACGUCACUGGCAGUUUCUUAGAUAACAUUGCAAAUACCGCCCAUCAUUCUUAGAAUUUCUCAAUCUUUUGAACAUAAAACAUACUGUACUGCAUAUUGUCUAUUACUGUCUAAGGAUCUUACCAGA